ACGACAGAGCGCAUCAGUCUUUCGCCUUUUACUAAAGAUUGCCGUGUCGU
rnacentral:snRNA from 1 species